AUUGAACGCUGGCAGCAUGCCUUACACAUGCAAGUCGAACGGCAGCAUGGAAGAGCUUGCGCUUCUGAUGGCGAGUGGCGAACGGGUGAGUAAAGCAUCGGAACGUACCGUGUAAUGGGGGAUAACGUAGCGAAAGUUACGCUAAUACCGCAUACGACCUGAGGGUGAAAGCAGGGGAUCGCAAGGCCUUGCGUUAUACGAGCGGCCGAUGUCAGAUUAGCUAGUUGGUAGGGUAAAGGCCUACCAAGGCGACGAUCUGUAGCGGGUCUGAGAGGACGAUCCGCCACACUGGGACUGAGACACGGCCCAGACUCCUACGGGAGGCAGCAGUGGGGAAUUUUGGACAAUGGGGGCAACCCUGAUCCAGCCAUGCCGCGUGAGUGAAGAAGGCCUUCGGGUUGUAAAGCUCUUUCGGCCGGGAAGAAAUCGCACAGGCUAAUACUCUGUGUGGAUGACGGUACCGGCAUAAGAAGCACCGGCUAACUACGUGCCAGCAGCCGCAGUAA
rnacentral:rRNA from 1 species